UGGGGAAUCUUGGGCAAUGGGGGAAACCCUGACCCAGCCACGCCGCGUGCAGGAAGACACCCCUAUGGGGCGUAAACUGCUUUUAUAAGGGAAGAAGGCCCCCUUCUUGGGGGUUUGACGGUACCUUACGAAUAAGCACCGGCUAACUCCGUGCCAGCAGCCGCGGUAAUACGGAGGGUGCAAGCGUUGUCCGGAAUCACUGGGUGUAAAGGGUGUGUAGGUGGGAUUGUAAGUCAGAGGUGAAAGCCCCCGGCCUAACCGGGGAAUGGCCUUUGAUACUGCAAUUCUUGAGUCCUGGAGAGGUCAUUAGAAUUCGUGGUGUAGCGGUGAAAUGCGUAGAUAUCACGAGGAAUACCAGAGGCGUAGGCGGAUGACUGGACAGGUACUGACACUGAGGCACGAAAGCGUGGGGAGCAAACAGGAUUAGAUACCCCCGUAGUCC
rnacentral:rRNA from 1 species